UGGGGAAUUUUGGACAAUGGGCGAAAGCCUGAUCCAGCAAUGCCGCGUGUGUGAAGAAGGCCUUCGGGUUGUAAAGCACUUUUGUCUGGAAAGAAAUCCUUGGCUCUAAUACAGUCGGGGGAUGACGGUACCGGAAGAAUAAGCACCGGCUAACUACGUGCCAGCAGCCGCGGUAAUACGUAGGGUGCAAGCGUUAAUCGGAAUUACUGGGCGUAAAGCGUGCGCAGGCGGUUUGCUAAGACCGAUGUGAAAUCCCCGGGCUCAACCUGGGAACUGCAUUGGUGACUGGCAGGCUAGAGUAUGGCAGAGGGGGGUAGAAUUCCACGUGUAGCAGGUGAAAUGCGUAGAGAUGUGGAGGAAUACCGAUGGCGAAGGCAGCCCCCUGGGCCAAUACUGACGCUCAUGCACGAAAAGCGUGGGGAGCAAAACAGGAUUAGAUACCCUGGUAGUCCACGCCCUAAAACGAUGUCAACUAGUUGUUGGGGAUUCAUUUCCUUAGUAACGUAGCUAACGCG
rnacentral:rRNA from 1 species